GAUGAACGCUGGCGGCGUGCCUAACACAUGCAAGUCGAACGGAGUUACUUUGGUGAAGUUUUCGGAUGGAUCUGAUUUAACUUAGUGGCGGACGGGUGAGUAAUGCGUGAGCAACCUGCCCUUCAGAGGGGGACAACAGUUGGAAACGACUGCUAAUACCGCAUAAUGUAUUCGGAAGGCAUCUUCUGGAUACCAAAGGAGAAAUCCGCUGAUGGAUGGGCUCACGUCUGAUUAGCUAGUUGGUGAGGUAACGGCUCACCAAGGCUGCGAUCAGUAGCCGGACUGAGAGGUUGAACGGCCACAUUGGGACUGAGAUACGGCCCAGACUCCUACGGGAGGCAGCAGUGGGGAAUAUUGGGCAAUGGGCGAAAGCCUGACCCAGCAACGCCGCGUGAAGGAAGAAGGCCUUCGGGUUGUAAACUUCUUUUAAGAGGGACGAAGAAGUGACGGUACCUCUUGAAUAAGCCACGGCUAACUACGUG
rnacentral:rRNA from 1 species